rnacentral:tRNA from 1 species
GCGAACGUGGUUCAGUGGUAGAACAUCACCUUGCCAAGGUGGGGGUCGCGGGUUCGAAUCCCGUCGUUCGCU